rnacentral:rRNA from 1 species
GACGAACGCUGGCGGCGUGCUUAACACAUGCAAGUCGAACGGAAAGGCCCUGCUUUUGUGGGGUGCUCGAGUGGCGAACGGGUGAGUAACACGUGAGUAACCUGCCCUUGACUUUGGGAUAACUUCAGGAAACUGGGGCUAAUACCGGAUAUGAGCUCCUGCUGCAUGGUGGGGGUUGGAAAGUUUCGGCGGUUGGGGAUGGACUCGCGGCUUAUCAGCUUGUUGGUGGGGUAGUGGCUUACCAAGGCUUUGACGGGUAGCCGGCCUGAGAGGGUGACCGGCCACAUUGGGACUGAGGUACGGCCCAGACUCCUACGGGAGGCAGCAGUGGGGAGUAUUGCACAAUGGGCGGAAGCCUGAUGCAGCAACGCCGCGUGCGGGAUGACGGCCUUCGGGUUGUAAACCGCUUUCGCCUGUGACGAAGCGUGGGUGACGGUAAUGGGUAAAGAAGCACCGGCUAACUACGUG